AAUGAGAGAAAGACAAAUCAUAUUUUUUUCUUCUAAUUUUUAGUUUUUUUUCCUGGAAAAAUUCAAAUCCAACUUAAAAAUGCUGAAAAUCAAGAGGAAAGAUAUGAUUUGUCAUUCUACCAUU
rfam:Gossypium raimondii Chr08_contig_61, whole genome shotgun sequence.